rnacentral:rRNA from 1 species
GUGGGGAAUCUUCCGCAAUGGACGAAAGUCUGACGGAGCAACGCCGCGUGAACGAUGACGGCCUUCGGGUUGUAAAGUUCUGUUAUACGGGACGAAUGGUACGACGGUCAAUACCCGUCGUAAGUGACGGUACCGUAAGAGAAAGCCACGGCUAACUACGUGCCAGCAGCCGCGGUAAUACGUAGGUGGCAAGCGUUGUCCGGAAUUAUUGGGCGUAAAGGGCGCGCAGGCGGCGUCGUAAGUCGGUCUUAAAAGUGCGGGGCUUAACCCCGUGAGGGGACAGAAACUGCGAUGCUAGAGUAUCGGAGAGGAAAGCGGAAUUCCUAGUGUAGCGGUGAAAUGCGUAGAUAUUAGGAGGAACACCAGUGGCGAAAGCGGCUUUCUGGACGACAACUGACGCUGAGGCGCGAAAGCCAGGGGAGCAAACGGGAUUAGAUACCCUAGUAGUCC